CCCAGACUCCUACGGGAGGCAGCAGUGGGGAAUAUUGCACAAUGGGGGAAACCCUGAUGCAGCGACGCCGCGUGAGUGAAGAAGUCUUUCGGUAUGUAAAGCUCUAUCAGCAGGGAAGAAAAUGACGGUACCUGAUUAAGAAGCCCCGGCUAACUACGUGCCAGCAGCCGCGGUAAUACGUAGGGGGCAAGCGUUAUCCGGAUUUACUGGGUGUAAAGGGAGCGCAGGCGGUACGGCAAGUCCGAUGUGAAAGCCCGGGGCUCAACCCCGGGACUGCAUUGGAAACUGCCGCACUAGAGUGCCGGAGAGGUAAGUGGAAUUCCUAGUGUAGCGGUGAAAUGCGUAGAUAUUAGGAGGAACACCAGUGGCGAAGGCGGCUUACUGGACGGUAACUGACGCUGAGGCUCGAAAGCGUGGGGAGCAAACAGGAUUAGAUACCCGGGUACAC
rnacentral:rRNA from 1 species